AUUGAACGCUGGCGGCAUGCCUUACACAUGCAAGUCGAACGGCAGCACGGGAGCAAUCCUGGUGGCGAGUGGCGAACGGGUGAGUAAUAUAUCGGAACGUGCCCGGUAGUGGGGGAUAACCCGGCGAAAGUCGGACUAAUACCGCAUACGACCUAUGGGUGAAAGCGGGGGAUCGCAAGACCUCGCGCUAUUGGAGCGGCCGAUAUCAGAUUAGCUAGUUGGUGGGGUAAAGGCCUACCAAGGCGACGAUCUGUAGCUGGUCUGAGAGGACGACCAGCCACACUGGGACUGAGACACGGCCCAGACUCCUACGGGAGGCAGCAGUGGGGAAUUUUGGACAAUGGGCGCAAGCCUGAUCCAGCCAUGCCGCGUGCGGGAAGAAGGCCUUCGGGAUGUAAACUUCUGAACUAGCCGAAUAAAAGGCCUGUGGACACACAGGAGAAGAAAGUAGGCUAGGAAAGUACCCGGCUAACUACGUGCCAGCAGCCGCGGUAAUGCUACG
rnacentral:rRNA from 1 species